rnacentral:rRNA from 1 species
UGGGGAAUAUUGGACAAUGGGGGGAACCCUGAUCCAGCCAUGCCGCGUGUGUGAAGAAGGCCUUUUGGUUGUAAAGCACUUUAAGCGAGGAGGAGGCUACUGGUAUUAAUACUACCGGAUAGUGGACGUUACUCGCAGAAUAAGCACCGGCUAACUCUGUGCCAGCAGCCGCGGUAAUACAGAGGGUGCGAGCGUUAAUCGGAUUUACUGGGCGUAAAGCGUGCGUAGGCGGCUUUUUAAGUCGGAUGUGAAAUCCCUGAGCUUAACUUAGGAAUUGCAUUCGAUACUGGGAGGCUAGAGUAUGGGAGAGGAUGGUAGAAUUCCAGGUGUAGCGGUGAAAUGCGUAGAGAUCUGGAGGAAUACCGAUGGCGAAGGCAGCCAUCUGGCCUAAUACUGACGCUGAGGUACGAAAGCAUGGGGAGCAAACAGG